GAAUCUGAAGGCCACCUUGUACAAGAAGUAGGAGAUCAUUAAGGAGCUGACAACAGCGAGCAGGACCAUCAAGGCUGGAGAAUCCAUGUCAAAACACCUGUUUGACUGAGCAGGGAUUACCCCAGCGAGCAAACCUAAUGUUGCCUCGACAUAGCCCCGACCCUGUGGAAUGCCCAGGAUCCAAACCAGCACUGGACUGUGCCGCAGUCUCUCAGCCGGCACCGAGACCCAGCAGCCUCUGGCUGAGCUCUUCAGAGCUGUGUGAAGGGAAGGGAUUGCCCUAUUGGCUCCCCAGGCAGGUGGGGAUGUCUCAGGAUGUACCAGGCAGCACUGAAACUCUGCCUUUCAGAAGGAAUUUGUGUGCUCUUGGCCUCGGGGAGGCUCUGGUCAAACAGAAUCCCAGGAGCUCAGAAGAUCUGUUGCCUCCGGUCUAACGAAUGCAAUGUGCUUGCAAAUUUGGGGAUGGCUCCUUGCCCAUGAUUAUCGGCUUGUUGACGUUUCCAGACAAUGACAAUGAUUGUGGCCACCAGCCUGGCUUGAGACACCAGGUUGUCCCUUGCCCUUGUGCUCCACACCAGCUCUACACCUCAAGCUCUGCACAGGAGGAGCCCAGCUGUGAGCAGAGCCCAACCUGAACCCAUGCAGCAUCAGUGUGAUGCGACACCCACGGAGCCCAUGAUGAGUCUUCAGUCCAGCUUAGACCCUGGA